CCUGAGUCCGGUGGGAAUGCGUGACGGUGUGAGGACAGCGGUGAGAGAAGGAGAAUGGAGGUGAGCGAGGUUGAACGUUGAGAUGUAUAAGGGCACCUGGUGACCAAGAAGGUCUUGAAUUGGUCUGUUAUAAGCACGGUUGGCUACUACGUAUGGUGCGAAAGACGUUCAACAUACCCUACAAGCCUACAUAGUAC